rnacentral:lncRNA from 1 species
CUGACCAGUGACAGGAUGUGGUUUAUCCCCUAGGAGUCAUCCAACCUUUUGCCACACAGGCAGUCUGGCCAAAAGCCUUUGGGAUUGCUGGUGGAGCAGAGGAGCUCUGCCCUGUGAAUGUAGUAAGUGGACGUGCAAUAUGCAGUCACAUGGAGGACAGCCUGAAAUCAAAAUGGAACUGAAAUCUGAUUUGUCAUUGUCUGCUCCUUUUGGAGGAGUAAUGGGAACCAUCACCAUCAUUUGGGGUUUACGUGAGCCUUGUGCUGUUCCAUGACUUUAGUGCUCCUGACCUCUCUCCUCAAGAUUCCACACUCUACAGAAGCUUUCCUGCAGAGCUGUCGUCAGGAAUGAACCAAGCCUUUUCCAGAGUGUAGCAGUUUAUAAGUCAAUAAAGUGACUCUGACUUUCCA